rnacentral:misc_RNA from 1 species
GAGGAAUGGGGAAUGAUUG